rnacentral:rRNA from 1 species
UACAGAGGUGGCAAGCGUUGUUCGGAAUUACUGGGCGUAAAGGGCGCGUAGGCGGUCUUAUAAGUCUCGUGUGAAAUCCCUCGGCUUAACUGAGGAACUGCACGGGAUACUGCAAGACUUGAGAUCGGGAGAGGGAAGCGGAAUUCCGGGUGUAGCGGUGAAAUGCGCAGAAUAUCAGGAGGAACACCGGUGGCGAAGGCGGGUCUCUGGGCA